UCGGGAAUUUUGGGCAAUGGGGGCAACCCUGAUCCAGCGAUGCCGCGUGUGUGAAGAAGGCCUGCGGGUUGUAAAGCACUUUAGUUGGGGAGGAAAGGUAUGUACUGCAUAAGUGCAUGCUGUGACGUUACCCAAAGAAUAAGCACCGGCAAACUCUGUGCCAGCAGCCGCGGUAAUACAGAGGGUGCAAGCGUUAAUCGGACUUACUGGGCGUAAAGCGCGCGUAGGUGGUUAGUUAAGUUGGAUGUGAAAUCCCCGGGCUCAACCUGGGAACUGCAUUCAAAACUGACUGACUAGAGUAUGGUAGAGGGUGGUGGAAUUUCCUGUGUAGCGGUGAAAUGCGUAGAUAUAGGAAGGAACACCAGUGGCGAAGGCGACCACCUGGACUGAUACUGACACUGAGGUGCGAAAGCGUGGGGAGCAAACAGGAUUAGAUACCCAAGUAGUCCCUGAGCGGGCUGGCAAGGCGCAU
rnacentral:rRNA from 1 species